UGCUUUACACAUGCAAGUCGUACGGGAGUUUUUAACUCUAGUGGCGGACGGGUGAGUAACACGUAAGAAUUUGCCUUUAGGAGGGGGAUAACAUCGUCAGAAAUGAUUCGAGAAAUUGAUGCUAAUACCCCAUAUGCUUUCGAGUGAAAUGGAGUUUUCCGCCUAAAGAGAAGCUUGCGGCUGAUUAGCUUGUUGGUGAGGUAAUGGCUUACCAAGGCGACGAUCAGUAUCUGGUUUGAGAGGAUGAUCAGACACACUGGAACUGAGACACGGUCCAGACUCCUACGGGAGGCAGCAGUGGGGAAUUUUCCGCAAUGGGCGAAAGCCUGACGGAGCAAUCUCGCGUGAGGGAUGACUGCCUAUGGGUUGUAAACCUCUUUUUUCAGGGAGGAAUAAAUGACGUUACCUGAAGAAUA
rnacentral:rRNA from 1 species